CCUGGUAGUCCACGCCGUAAACGAUGUCGACUUGGAGGUUGUUCCCUUGAGGAGUGGCUUCCGGAGCUAACGCGUUAAGUCGACCGCCUGGGGAGUACGGCCGCAAGGUUAAAACUCAAAUGAAUUGACGGGGGCCCGCACAAGCGGUGGAGCAUGUGGUUUAAUUCGAUGCAACGCGAAGAACCUUACCUACUCUUGACAUCCAGCGAACUUAGCAGAGAUGCUUUGGUGCCUUCGGGAACGCUGAGACAGGUGCUGCAUGGCUGUCGUCAGCUCGUGUUGUGAAAUGUUGGGUUAAGUCCCGCAACGAGCGCAACCCUUAUCCUUUGUUGCCAGCGAUUCGGUCGGGAACUCAAAGGAGACUGCCGGUGAUAAACCGGAGGAAGGUGGGGAUGACGUCAAGUCAUCAUGGCCCUUACGAGUAGGGCUACACACGUGCUACAAUGGCGCAUACAAAGAGAAGCGACCUCGCGAGAGCAAGCGGACCUCACAAAGUGCGUCGUAGUCCGGAUCGGAGUCUGCAACUCGACUCCGUGAAGUCGGAAUCGCUAGUAAUCGUGGAUCAGAAUGCCACGGUGAAUACGUUCCCGGGCCUUGUACACACCGCCCGUCACACCAUGGGAGUGGGUUGCAAAAGAAGUAGGUAGCUUAACCUUCGGGAGGGCGCUUACCACUUUGUGAUUCAUGACUGGGGUGAAGUCGU
rnacentral:rRNA from 1 species